AUUGAACGCUGGCGGCAGGCCUAACACAUGCAAGUCGAACGAGUGGCGGACGGGUGAGUAAUGUCUGGGAAACUGCCUGAUGGAGGGGGAUAACUACUGGAAACGGUAGCUAAUACCGCAUACCAUCAGAUGUGCCCAGAUGGGAUUAGCUAGUAGGUGGGGUAAUGGCUCACCUAGGCGACGAUCCCUAGCUGGUCUGAGCGGAUGACCAGCAACACGGGAACGGAGACACGGGCCAGACUCCUACGGGAGGCAGCAGUGGGGAAUAUGGCAAAAUGGGCGCAAGCCUGAUGCAGCCAUGCCGGGUGUGGGAAGAAGGCCUUCGGGUGGUAAAGCACGUUCAGCGAGGAGGCGUUACUCGCAGAAGAAGCACCGGCUAACUCCGUGCCAGCCGCCGCGGUAAUAC
rnacentral:rRNA from 1 species